rnacentral:tRNA from 2 species
AGUGACGUAGUUAAAUAAUAACAUUAAAUUGCAAAUUUAUUAUUAUACUUAUAGUAUCCUCACUU